GACGAACGCUGGCGGCGUGCUUAACACAUGCAAGUCGAACGGAAAGGCCCUGCUUUUGUGGGGUGCUCGAGUGGCGAACGGGUGAGUAACACGUGAGUAACCUGCCCUUGACUUUGGGAUAACUUCAGGAAACUGGGGCUAAUACCGGAUAGGAGCUCCUGCUGCAUGGUGGGGGUUGGAAAGUUUCGGCGGUUGGGGAUUGACUCGCGGCUUAUCAGCUUGUUGGUGGGGGAGUGGCUUACCAAGGCUUUGACGGGUAGCCGGCCUGAGAGGGUGACCGGCCACAUUGGGACUGAGAUACGGCCCAGACUCCUACGGGAGGCAGCAGUGGGGAAUAUUGCACAAUGGGCGGAAGCCUGAUGCAGCAACGCCGCGUGCGGGAUGACGGCCUUCGGGUUGUAAACCGCUUUCGCCUGUGACGAAGCGUGAGUGACGGUAAUGUGUAAAGAAGCACCGGCUAACUACGUG
rnacentral:rRNA from 1 species